rnacentral:lncRNA from 1 species
AUCAGAAAGUAUUUUCGUAAGAACGAAACAGAAACUUGAUUUUAGUUUCUGCACUGAAAGAAACUUGAUGAGUAGUCCAUUUUCUCUAAUACUUUUCUAGUACUUGUCACAUUAGUUUAUCAUGUAAAUAUUUCAAUGUAGAGAGGUUUGGAAACUUGCAUUUGUUUCAUUUGAAGUUACUUAUAGAAUUUUGACAUCAUGUCCUCUUUCAUUUUCCAUGUAAUCCAGUGUUCCAUUGCUUAUUAUAUUGUCAUGUUAUCC